AGCUAAACCAUGUCCAUAGCAGCAGCAGUUAACCAUGAGGCUAUCAAAUCUUCAACUCCAGCAGCAGCAAACCACGAGGUUACAGAUAUUCAACCUCAACAGCAGCAGCAAAGCAUAUGGUAAUGAAAUCCAUAUCGCUAUCAAGUCUCCAGCAGCAGCAGCAGCAGCAGCAGCAGCAGAAGAGCUACAAAAGCUUCAACAUCGGCAAGGACUUAAACUAACCAUUUGCAAAAAUGCUCCUCCGAGGUUUUGUAAAGCAGAACCCUUCAUCAUCAGCUACAUGACAGAUCUAGCUGGUACAUUGAAUGGUUUUCUAGACCAAAUCCAACCUGACUAAAACAAGUACC
rnacentral:lncRNA from 1 species